UCUGCUAGGGGCAUUGCAUUACAGGUGUGACUACAGAGUUCCAUAUGAAUCAGUAGGUGGUAGAAAGGAGACGGGUUAUGUAUAUGCUCAGUGUUCUGAUAUAGGACCCUCUGAAUGAUUAUCAGCCCAACAUU
ensembl:snoRNA LOC120103331 small nucleolar RNA SNORA17